rnacentral:tRNA from 1 species
CUGAAUAUGGCGCAGCAGUUCGUGCGGCAGUUUCCCGAACUGGCUCGUUCUGGCCAGGGGGAUGAUUGGUGCUAUGCCGGUUGGCUAGC